AUUGAACGCUGGCGGCAGGCCUAACACAUGCAAGUCGAACGAGUGGCGGACUGGUGAGUAAUGUCUUGGAACCUGCCUGAUGGAGGCGGAUAACUACUGGAAACGGUAGCUAAUACCGCAUACCAUCCGUUGUGCCCUGAUGGGAUUAGCUAGUAGGUGGGGUAAAGGUUGACCUUGGCGACGAUCCCUAGCUGGUCUGGGAGGAGGACCAGCCAAAAUGGAACUGGGGCACGGGCCAGACUCCUAAGGGAGGCAGCAGUGGGGAAUAUUGCACAAUGGGCGCAAUCCUGAUGCAGCCAUGGCGCGGGUAUGAAGAAGGCCUUCGGGUUGUAAAGUACUUUCAGCGGGGAGGCGUUACCCGCAGAAGAAGCACCGGCUAACUCCGUGCCAGCAGCCGCGGUAAUUUC
rnacentral:rRNA from 1 species